rnacentral:rRNA from 1 species
CCCUACGGGAGGCAGCAGUGAGGAAUAUUGGUCAAUGGGCUUACGCCUGAACCAGCCAAGUCGCGUGAGGGAAGACUGCCCUAUGGGUUGUAAACCUCUUUUGUCGGGGAGCAAGACCCGCCACGAGUGGCGGAGCGAGAGUACCCGAAGAAAAAGCAUCGGCUAACUCCGUGCCAGCAGCCGCGGUAAUACGGAGGAUGCGAGCGUUAUCCGGAUUUAUUAGGUUUAAAGGGUGCGCAGGCGGACCAUCAAGUCAGCGGUAAAAUCGUGGGGCCCAACCCCAUCCCGCCGUUGAAACUGGCGGG